GAUGAACGCUAGCGAUAGGCUUAACACAUGCAAGUCGAGGGGUAACGUGUUGGAAGCUUGCUUCCGAUGACGACGACCGGCGGAUGGGUGCGUAACGCGUAUGCAACUUGCCUCACAGUGGAGAAUAACCCGGAGAAAUCCGGACUAAUACUCCAUACACUCUUAAGUACGCCUGUACAUGAGAGGAAAGAUUUAUCGCUGUUAGAUAGGCAUGCGUCCUAUUAGGUAGUUGGUGAGGUAACGGCCCACCAAGCCGACGAUAGGUAGGGGUGCUGAGAGGCAGAUCACCCACAUUGGGACUGAGACACGGCCCAAACUCCUACGGGAGGCAGCAGUGAGGAAUAGUGGUCAAUGGAGGAAACUCUGAACCAGCCAAGUCGCGUGAAGGAAGAAUGGCCUAAGGAUUGUAAACUUCUUUAGCGAGCGAGUAAGGACUUCCACGUGAUGGGAGUUUGAAAGUAGCUCGAGAAUAAGUAUCGGCUAACUCCGUG
rnacentral:rRNA from 1 species